UUACAUGAGGAUCCAAGCAAAGAUUUUGCAUUUAUUGUGUAUGUACACCCUGCAAAUAAUCACUACUGCAUAAAACUUAUUAUAAGGCAUGCAAAAAGGGUUUACAGAGGCCGGCAACCCGUCCAGCUCGAGAUUAGUUGCCUGUCCCGGUUAAUGAAAAUAAAAAAAAUUAAAAACUUGAAUCCAGACUGGGCUUGGAUCUGGACUUCACGGCACCGCCGCCACCCCUGCACAACGCCGCCGCGGCCACACGAGCCCUCCCCGUCGAAUGUGGCUCCUCCUCGCCAGAUCCGGUGUCCUCCUCGCCGGAUACGCCAAUGUUGGAGGUGCUCUGCCUUUGUGAGCUCCCUUUGCUCCUCGCCGUCGGAUCUAGACACCUUGCACGCCCCACCGUCGGAGGAGAGGGAGGAAGGAGAGGGAACG
rnacentral:lncRNA from 1 species